CUAGAUUUAUGAAAAUUGAGAUAGAACUAGUCAUUGUUUUUAUUAAUCAGUUUUAUAGACUGUUACCAUGAAGUAUUUAUCUUGAUAUUAAGGUUUAAGUAAGAACCUUAAAGUUAAAAACAGCCACCCUGUUGCUAACUCAGAAAAGUUACAGCUAUUUUUAUUAAAACAACAAUAUAAUCAUAUUUAUUUAAAAACUAUAUAAACAAAGAUCAUUUUGUUUUAGGCUUUAUGACUUUAAAACAUCUAGCAGAGGCAAAUAUAAAACUGUCUGACCAGUAAACCCAGACAAAAAUGUCUGCUGACAAUUUUGAAGACAUUUCUAAUUUUAUUUUAUCCACAAUUUUAAAACCAAUUAAUUUAUCAAAGAUUUACUUAAGUCACAUCAACUAAAAAAAACUGGGGGUUAAUUACUAUACAUUUUAUAUGAGUGCUCAUUUAUUUAAACCAAUCAGAAUAAAAUUUGUUAAGGGAUUUCUGGCUGACUACACCAGCUUUUAUGUAGAUACAACAUUCAACAUAAUAUAUGUACAUACACAUAAACACAUUUAAACACAUAUACAUAAAGAUAUUAAAACUUUUAUUUUAGAAUUUUAGUCAUGAUAUAGUAAAACACGUAAAUUCACCAGUUUAUAAAAAUGAUUAGAUGCAAAUUAUUUUUCUGACAAAAUGGGCUAAGGAUAAGCUUUAAGCUUUUUUAAUAGGCAAUCUUAUAAAGGCUGUAAAUCAAAUUUGGGAUAAAGCAGUUUGAGUCACUCACCAGUGCACUAAAUUGAACAAAAAAUAGUUAACUGUGAAAGUGUGCUGAAUUAUGUGAGUAGGACCAAAAGACAAGAGUGAUUUUUAACAAGGUUUAUACAGUAUUUUCUUGGACUCAAUUCUUUGUCAUUGAAGAUAAAAAUGCUGCUAUUCUUUUUUGUAUAGGGAGGAAGGUUUUACAUGGGAAUUUAAUCUUUGCUUUAAAAAAAAAACAGUAGGAAGGUCAAAAUGACUUUGUUUUAUAUCUGCUGGUUUUCAAGUGUUUUUAUUUAAGUAGUAUGUUAGAAUAGCUGUUUAGAGAAGGAUAAAGAGGGGAUACUGUAAGAAGGGGAGGGGAAAGGUCUAGAAAAGAAAGUUUCAGCCACCUUUGAGACAGUAUUUUUUAACAAGGCAAUAUUUGUAUCCUGAAUGUGUUUUGUUUUUGUUUUUAUUUUUUUUUAGCCUCAAGAUAUCAAUGAAAUAUGCAUAUCUUAUUUGGAGUGUAUGAUUUUAUAGCCUCCAUCUUUUAGUUCAGUUUUAAGAAAAACAGACUAAAUGAUCCCUGUAAUGUUUGAAUAUGUUACUAGCUGGAGUUCCAGAAAAUAUUCUGGCAUGCCUUUGAACUUUGAGAGCUCAUUUCGUGGGUGCUCUGAUUUAAUGUCAACUAUGCAAAAGCCAAGUAAAUGCAAGCACUGAAUACACAAAGGCCAAAUAAAUACAAGACAGGACAGAAAAUAAAAUACAUGCUUACCAGUAAGAAUGAUAAGCCUUCUCCAAAGAAAGGGAAAAAUUCCCUCAUCCAAGCCUCAAGGUCCAAACCUCGCAGCUGAGGUCAACAGGGGGAAAAUAAUUCUACCCAACAGAUCUACCAAACAAGAGGGGGAAAGACCUCUCCCUAAUCAUAUCCCAAAUAAAACAGAACUCGAACCAUAUCUGAGAGUUCUGUCCAAGAGAUACUUACUGGAGGGAGAAAGGAUUACCUGUGAAAGUGGUGGGGGUGUAGGGGGUUCAAAGGGCCCCAACAUGGGUACCUCAUGCCAUAACUCCAAAGGCCAAUGAUUCUCCAUGAGGUGAGUCAGCUUUGUAUCCCACUUCUGACACCAUGCAUGUCAAAGUCAAAAUGAAAAUGUAGACACAAAACUAAAUUUAAUGUUUUGAGAAGAAAGAAUUUCAAUUCUAGGUGAUCUUUAGUAUGUCCAACAAACAAAGAGAAGGUUGAGGGUUUUAUUUAAAACUAAGAAUGUUACUUGUGGUCUUUCUUUUUUUUUUUUUUUUUUUUUUGAGACGGAGUCUCGCUCUGUCACCCAGGCUGGAGUGCAGUAGUGCAGUCUUGGCUCACUGCAAGCUCCACCUCCCGGGUUCACGCCAUUCUCCUGCCUCAGCCUCUAGCCUCCCGAGUAGGUGGGACUACAGAGGUUGAGGCAGGAGAAUGGUGUGAACCCAGGAGGUGGACGUUGCAG
rnacentral:lncRNA from 1 species